rnacentral:rRNA from 1 species
AGGACGAACGCUGGCGGCGUGCUUAACACAUGCAAGUCGAGCGAGGCCCUUCCUUCGGGAGGGUGUCCUAGCGGCGAACGGGUGAGUAACACGUGGGCAACCUGCCCUCAGCUCUGGGAUAACUCCAAGAAAUUGGGGCUAAUACCGGAUAUGACCGCUGACCGCAUGGUCUGGUGGUGGAAAGAUUUAUCGGCUGGGGAUGGGCCCGCGGCCUAUCAGCUUGUUGGUGGGGUAGUGGCCUACCAAGGCGACGACGGGUAGCCGGCCUGAGAGGGUGACCGGCCACACUGGGACUGAGACACGGCCCAGACUCCUACGGGAGGCAGCAGUGGGGAACAUUGCGCAAUGGGCGGAAGCCUGACGCAGCGACGCCGCGUGGGGGAUGACGGCCUUCGGGUUGUAACCUCUUUCAGCAGGGACGAAGCGAAAGUGACGGUACCUGCAGAAGAAGCACCGGCCAACUACGUGCCAGCAGCCGC